rnacentral:tRNA from 1 species
UUCAGAAUAGCUUAAUUUAAAGCAUUGAUUUUGUAAUUCAAAGAUAGACUUUUUUUUCUGUAGC